UCAAAUUUGAAAUCUGGCUCUUUCAGAGUCCGAGUUGUAAUUUGAAGAAGGUAUCUUUGGGUCUGGCUCUUGUCUAUGUUUCUUGGAACAGAACGUCACAGAGGGUGAGAAUCCCGUGCGAUGAGAUGAUCCAGGCCUAUGUAAAGUUCCUUCGAAGAGUCGAGUUGUUUGGGAAUGCAGCUCUAAGUGGGUGGUAAAUUCCAUCUAAAGCUAAAUAUUGGCGAGAGACCGAUAGCGAACAAGUACAGUGAUGGAAAGAUGAAAAGAACUUUGAAAAGAGAGUGAAAAAGUACGUGAAAUUGUUGAAAGGGAAGGGCUUGAGAUCAGACUUGGUAUUUUGUAUGUUACUUCUUCGGGGGUGGCCUCUACAGUUUAUCGGGCCAGCAUCAGUUUGGGCGGUAGGAGAAUUGCGUUGGAAUGUGGCACGGCUUCGGUUGUGUGUUAUAGCCUUCGUCGAUACUGCCAGCCUAGACUGAGGACUGCGGUUUAUACCUAGGAUGUUGGCAUAAUGAUCUUAAGUCG
rnacentral:rRNA from 1 species